rnacentral:rRNA from 1 species
GGGUUAAGUCCGUAACGAGCGCAACCCUUGUCCUUAGUUACCAGCACGUUAUGGUGGGCGACUCUAAGGAGACUGCCGGUGACAACCGGAGGAAGGUGGGGAGUGACGUCAAGUCAUCAUGGCCCUUACGGCCUGGGCUACACACGUGCUACAAUGGUCGGUACAAAGGGUUGCCAAGCCGCGAGGUGGAGCUAAUCCCAUAAAACCGAUCGUAGUCCGGAUCGCAGUCUGCAACUCGACUGCGUGAAGUCGGAAUCGCUAGUAAUCGUGAAUCAGAAUGUCACGGUGAAUACGUUCCCGGGCCUU